rnacentral:rRNA from 1 species
UGAGUAACACGUGGGCAACCUGCCUUGUAGAGGGGAAUAGCCUUCCGAAAGGAAGAUUAAUACCGCAUAACAUUACAUUUUCGCAUGAAGAAGUAAUUAAAGGAGCAAUCCGCUACAAGAUGGGCCCGCGGCGCAUUAGCUAGUUGGUGAGGUAACGGCUCACCAAGGCGACGAUGCGUAGCCGACCUGAGAGGGUGAUCGGCCACAUUGGGACUGAGACACGGCCCAGACUCCUACGGGAGGCAGCAUG